GACGAACGCUGGCGGCGUGCUUAACACAUGCAAGUCGAACGGAAAGGCCCUGCUUUUGUGGGGUGCUCGAGUGGCGAACGGGUGAGUAACACGUGAGUAACCUGCCCUUGACUUUGGGAUAACUUCAGGAAACUGGGGCUAAUACCGGAUAGGAGCUCCUGCUGCAUGGCGGGGGUUGGAAAGUUUCGGCGGUUGGGGAUGGACUCGCGGCUUAUCAGCUUGUUGGUGGGGUAGUGGCUUACCAAGGCUUUGACGGGUAGCCGGCCUGAGAGGGUGACCGGCCACAUUGGGACUGAGAUACGGCCCAGACGCCUACGGGAGGCAGCAGUGGGGAAUAUUGCACAAUGGGCGGAAGCCUGAUGCAGCAACGCCGCGUGCGGGAUGACGGCCUUCGGGUUGUAAACCGCUUUCGCCUGUGACGAAGCGUGAGUGACGGUAAUGGGUAAAGAAGCACCGGCUAACUACGUG
rnacentral:rRNA from 1 species